CCAAUAGCGUAUAUUAAAGUUGUUGCAGUUAAAAAGCUCGUAGUUGAAUUUCGGGAUCAAUAUGUUGGUCGUGCCUCGGUACGUACUAGCUUAUUGGUUUCUCCUUUCUGAAGAACCAUGAUGUCAUUUAUUUGGUGUCGUGGGGAAUCAGGACUGUUACUUUGAAAAAAUUAGAGUGUUUAAAGCAGGCUCACGCUUGAAUACAUUAGCAUGGAAUAAUGAAAUAGGACGUUUGAUUCUAUUUUGUUGGUUUUUAGGAUCGACGUAAUGAUUAAGAGGGAGAGUUGGGGGCAUUAGUAUUCAAUUGUCAGAGGUGAAAUUCUUGGAUUUAUUGAAGACUAACUACUGCGAAAGCAUUUGCCAAGGAUGUUUUCAUUAAUCAAGAACGAAAGUUAGGGGAUCGAAGACGAUCAGAUACCGUCGUAGUCUUAACCAUAAACUAUGCCGACUAGGGAUCGGAUGAUGUUAAUUUUUUAAUGACUCAUUCGGCGCCUUACG
rnacentral:rRNA from 1 species